rnacentral:rRNA from 1 species
GACGGGGGGGGCACCCUAUAUCCGGAAUUAUUGGGCGUAAAGCGUCCGUAGGUGGUUGACCAAGUCUGCUGUCAAAGGGUGGGGCUUAACCUCAUAAAGGCAGUGGAAACUGGUGAGCUAGGGUGCGGUAGGAGUAAGGGGAAUUCCCAGUGUAGCGGUGAAAUGCGUAGAUAUUGGGAAGAACAUCGGUGGCGAAAGCGCCUUGCUGGGACUGCACUGACACUGAGGGACGAAAGCUAGGGGAGCGAAAGGG